UGAAUUUUGGGGUAUGACACUCUUCAAACCUUUUUUCAAUGUCACUAUGGAGUUGUGAGAGAGUUACUUCCAACUCCUUGGCACGGGUUUGCUCGUCCUUCAACUCUUUCUGACAUUUCUCCAAUUGGUCUUGCAGAGUCUUGAUCUGGACUUGGUAGUCUAUCUCCAGUUUGCAUGCUCGGUAUUGGGCUUCAGCUAAU
rnacentral:lncRNA from 1 species